rnacentral:misc_RNA from 1 species
GGAAAAAUUAAUGUUUAUUUUUACAAGCAAAAAUACCCUUCACAUAUUUGAAAAAGAAUCGGUUAGAGAAAGAAAAAACCUUUUACAUCAUUGUUGCUUCGAUGUUCAAUUUCUCUUUCCUAUGCUAAAUUACUAAUUUCAAUAUGCCAUCUUGAAUUUCUAGGGUUCUCACCAUUGACAUUGCUGCUGCUGGCUUAAAGGAGAAAGAAACAAAAGGAAACAGUGGAAUUGCGGAGGAUCAGAAAAUGGGGUGAGAUGUUUGGAAGUGGUGGGAAAAGAUGCAGAAGGUAUAAAUGUGCAAGGAGAGAAAGGAGGUGUUGGGCAAUUUUUCUACAAAGAAUUGAAAAAGAAGUGUCUUUUUAGUCUUUUUCUUUAUUUUAAC